rnacentral:rRNA from 1 species
UACGAAGGGUGCAAACGUUGCUCGGAAUUAUUGGGCGUAAAGAGCUCGUAGGCGGUUCGUCGCGUCGGCUGUGAAAACCUGAGGCUCAACCUCAGGCCUGCAGUCGAUACGGGCGGACUUGAGUACUGCAGGGGAGACUGGAAUUCCUGGUGUAGCGGUGAAAUGCGCAGAUAUCAGGAGGAACACCGGUGGCGAAGGCGGGUCUCUGGGCAGUAACUGACGCUGAGGAGCGAAAGCGUGGGGAGCGAACAGG